GGUAGGGUACAGCUCAGUGAUAGAGUACAUGCCUAGCAUGCACAAAAUCCUGGGUUUAAUCCCCAGUACCACCA
rnacentral:tRNA from 1 species